GCCCCGAUCGUCUAGCGGCCCAGGACCCCGCCCUUUCACGGCGGUAACACGGGUUCGAAUCCCGUUCGGGGUA
rnacentral:tRNA from 3 species